GAGGGUGUAACUCAAUGGUAGAGUAAUGAGCUCAUAAGUGAUAGGUUUGAGUACUAUCAUUCUCA
rnacentral:tRNA from 1 species